UACGGGGGGAGCAAGCGUUGUUCGGAAUUACUGGGCGUAAAGCGCGUGUAGGCGGCAGCGCAAGUCGGGCGUGAAAUCCCACGGCUCAACCGUGGAAGUGCACUCGAAACUGCGCAGCUAGAGUCCUGGAGAGGAAGGUGGAAUGCUUGGUGUAGAGGUGAAAUUCGUAGAUAUCAAGCGGAACACCGGUGGCGAAGGCGGCCUUCUGGACAGUGACUGACGCUGAGACGCGAAAGCGUGGGGAGCAAACAGGG
rnacentral:rRNA from 1 species